rnacentral:rRNA from 1 species
GACGGAGGAUGCAAGCGUUAUCCGGAAUUAUUGGGCGUAAAGCGUCCGUAGGUGGUUACAAAAGUCUGUUGUUAAAGCCCACAGCUCAACUGUGGAUCGGCAAUGGAAACUAUGUGACUUGAGUGUGGUAGGGGUAGAGGGAAUUCCUAGUGUAGCGGUGAAAUGCGUAGAUAUUAGGAAGAACACCAGUGGCGAAGGCGCUCUACUGGGCCAUAACUGACACUGAUGGACGAAAGCUAGGGGAGCGAAAGGG